CAUUGCUGGCAGACCCCCUUUCCUACUGAGAGCUGCAGAUUUUGGAGGUUGUCCUGCCAGAUGAGGAAAAGGUGGGAUUGUACAAUAAGAAACUGAUGCACUCUUUCAAAUCUCAAGAUAUCAUCAUCAUCAUCAUCAUCAUCAUCCUCCGUCCUCCCUGGUUGACUCCUUUAUAAUUUGGCUAUUAGGCAUUUCAGCAUGAGAAGGAUCAAAGCAGAGACAUCAUCUCAGCUCUCAGCUCUCCUACAGAAGACGAAUCGUCCUCUUUUUCCGACAGCUUCUCAGUUGUGGAACUGGAGUGCUGCCAUAGAAAAACCCGAAACCCCAAGAGUGCGCUCGUGGAGUGACGUUUCCCACUGCAAUCCUCUCUCCCUUUUUUAGACCCAUCUGCCUGUGCCAAGUGUCCUCUACUCAGGGUGUGACAAGCCAGCAAGUGUUUUCUGGUUCUAGUGUUUAGACAUAGAUCUUGUGGGUCAGUGUUAACCACACUUUUACGUGCUGUUGUCUGUACGGAUCAGAGCUGCCCAAAAGAUGGCACUCUUCUCAUGUCAAGCACUCCCUGAGACUCACAUCUGUUUCAAGGGCUGAUGGUGUGACUUCCCAAUAUUAUCACGGAGUUUCAUAAAAGUGUGGAAGUUGUAGGGGGUGAAGUUUGAGCCACUGCAUUAUCAGCUGGUAAGAUAAAGAUGAUAAAGCAUAAUUCUAAAUUCAAGAAAGACGGCUGCAGAACUCAGGGACUAAUUGUCCACAGAUGUGUAGCUGCACUGGACUGAAGACCCAGAGUUUCACACACUCCAGUCUCCUGGCCUAAUCAGGUUAGGAUUUUCUUCUAAAUUAGGGCU
ensembl:lncRNA